GAAAGGAUAGGAAAUACUAAAGCUUGGGACAUACCAAAGUGUCUUCCUUGUGAAAGCAGCAAACUCUCCUCUUGAAUUGAUCUUUUUUGUUUGUUCGUGGCAUCCAGGACCCGUGCGAUAAUGGAAGGAUUUAGAAAUUACAUCCUCUUUGAUUCUUUUCCUUUUCUUUUCUUUUUCUAAAACUUUGUUUCUUUUUUCUUUCUUUUUUCUACAAUUCCAGUACACAUACCUCGGUACAUACCACUUUCUUGAUGUAGAGCUCGAAUUUUCUUUGUCUUCAUCACUUUGGUAUUCCCCAAACUAUAGGGUAUAGCUGUAAUGGGCUAAAUAUCUCAUAUUGAGAUAAAAGGAUAUGGGGAAACAAAUGUGAGAAAAGAAAAUGGCUAAAAAUGAUUGGCUUCAAAAUGGGGUAAUGGCACACACAUAAAGGUAAGAAAUUAGGCCUUUUGGUGGUUAAGACAUGCAUAGCCUAACAUCGUCUCAAUGAGUUCAUUCAUGAAUGUUACCAAGCACAUGGUAUCUGCGAAAGUGAACAAUUCUUUGUGUUCAAUCAAACAAAAAUAAUGAGAUCAUUUGAAAUGAAAUUGAAGCUUUGAAAAAUAAGAGUAACAGCUUUGAAAAAAAAGAUAUGAUAUGAACUUUUUCAUGACAUCACAGUAGUCCUCAUUGUAAACCAUAGCCCUCAUAUACAUUCACAUUAGUAAGCAAAAGCAAACUUUAACCAGAACUAAAAACAAACGAAAAUCCCACACCCCCAAACCUAAACUAAGCAUUGUCCUCGAUGCUUUAAAAAAAGAAAAAAUGAAUGGAAUGGAUGCAAUGCAAAUUGGCACAGUGUGCAUGGAAAGAAAUAAAAUAAAAACUAAAAACCAACACAAAUAAACGGAAAGAACACAAACCCAGCUAGGUUGCCUCCAAGCAAGCGCUUUAUUUAAUGUCUAGGCAAGACAUGGUAGUGUGUCUAAGUUGCGAUAAACUCGAGAGAAUCUAUAACGACAUAAACCUGCUCCUGUGAAACAUUCUCCAAAUAAGGCUUCAAACGCUUUCCAUUGACCUUAAAACGGGUGCCAUUCUUUCCAUAACUCCAUGGGGAAAUACUUGAAGCACUUUGAAUGGUCCAACCCAUCUAGACUUCAAUUUACCUGGAAACAGUCGCAAACGUGAGUCAUACAAAAGUACUUUCAUACCUGGUUGAAACUCCUUCCUAAGAAUUGCUUUGUCAUGGUAGAGCUUGGUUCGUUCUUUGUAGAUCCUUGCAUUCUCAUAUGAUUCAUUUCUGAGCUCUUCCAACUCAUUGAGUUGGAGCUUCCUCACUGUACCAGCUUCUUUGAGAUCAAAAUUGAACUUCUUUAUGGCCCAAUAUGCACGGUGCUCGAGCUCCAUUGGCAGAUGACAUGCCUUUCC
rnacentral:lncRNA from 1 species